rnacentral:lncRNA from 1 species
CUUUCCUUCCUUUUGAUAAUCUCGGCCGAACACACACAUAUACCCACUUCCUUUCAAAUUUCAAACAUUUUCUUUGAAGAUCAAAGCCAUUUCAAGCUAGUUUCAAGGUGUUUUGAAGAUUCAAGGGUGAUUUCAAGGUGAUUCCAAGAAGGUGCAAGCUCCAUAUCAUCAAACCUUGUCAAAAACCCACCAAGAUCUUGAAGAAAAGUGAUAUCUUGGAAGUUUAUGUAUACAUGAGUCCGGCUUCGGGAAUUUUGGCUUGUAUUGUCAUCUGGUUGUGUGAUGCGAUUGUAAUUAAAUAAUGUUUGGACACUUUUAAACUACAUAUGGGACCGUGUGUAAUAAGACCCAUAAGGGUCAAACAACUAAGAUGUGGAACCAAAUGUCCAACAUAAAUAUUGCAUCGACCACUAAGACAUUUAUGGGUACCAACCUCCGUCACUGCCACAUUUGUAUUUCCGCUACGACGUUUUUGGGGUGUGACA